GAAGACCCAAUUCGGAUUUCACCCAAGACAAUCCAGUCCGGAUCCAAUCCAGAUUAUAAACUGGGUGUGUGUCACUAUAAAGAUUGCCUCAAAUGUUGAAUACGAGUUGUUUUAUAAUGUAAUGGUUUUCUGUAUUUAGGAUAAACACAAUAAGGAAGUCCCCGAAAAUAAAAUAUAAAAAUAUUACAAACAUAUUGGGCACUAAAUAUCAAAAUGACUCUCACAAUUUCUUUGCCCACUCCGAUGCUUCCCAAGUAUGAGCGAGUUUUGCGAGUCAGAAAAAGUGCCCUUCACAGUCACUCUCGACCCAAUGGGGAUUUCAUCUAAGACGCUCCAAGGGGAUCUGAUUGGGUCUCUCUCCCGAAUUCGUUUUGGAUGAAAUCCUGGAUGGGAUCACUUCAAUCUGCGCGACCAAGAUCCAGAUAGAGUCUAGUGUGAAUCGUCCUGUAUGAAAUCAAACUUGGGUCCGGAUGGGAUCUUCCUGGAUGAACUCUGAACUGGAUUGGAAAUGAGUGCAAUCUCUUGGAUGAAUUCCGGAGAGAAACCCAUUUAGAUCCACUUGGAUUGACCCGGAUGUAAUCCAGGAUGUGAUCAACGUGGAAAGAAAUCCGGAUUGGAUACUGGAUCAGCCUGGACGGAUCCUGCAUUGGAUCGUCUUGGAUAAAACCGGAUUGAGUCCUUCCACCAUGGUUAUCCUUGGUGUUUUGCAGAAACUUUUGAAUCGCGUUCAUGGCGUCUUGUUUCUUUCUUGCCCCGAAUUGUUGAGGGUAAAGAAGAAGUUUGGUUUCUAAGAAGUCAUGUGCAGUUUGUGUUUGCUUACCGGUUUUCUUGGACUUGUUGUCCAAAUCGUCGUCUACUUGGGUAGAGUUAAGGCGGGUUGAUGCAACACGUCUCCGAGUUACAAGUUACAAGUUCUGUUCUCCAGUUUGUCUUUUUGUCCCUGGUUCCUGAGAUUUCCUUCUACGUUAGAAUCAUGGAGGGUACAGUUCCAUUCCUCUGCAUCAUGUUGGGCUUGUCUCUACAAUCAAGAAUCGUAUCUUCUAAUGGAUCGCAAAUCGGCCAUCCUCUCCAUUCUCCAAAUGGCCUCCAAUUGGACGUCCUUCUUGGGGUAAAGACACUGUUUGGCAUCGCUGAACUCUUAGGGGAACAUAUUUAGGUGAAUAAAUCAUAUUUUGGGGUUGCAACGAUUUCGAUUCGAUUUGGGAGUCUGACAUCAUGAAACAAUGGCUUGAAUUGUUGGGGCUUAGUUGGCCUGAUAUUCAUGAGUCUUUCUUUUUUUUUUGUUGCUCUCUGCCUCAUUUCAGACUAGCAAAUAUGUUCGUUCUCAUUAGGAGUGGGGGGAAUCGAGAACACAUUUGCUGACGAAUCUACCAGUUUGCCUCUCAGCUAUCAGUUUGCUUUCACCAGCCAACCAUUCACCACUGCUCCUCACAACCCAUCCCAUCCAAGGACCCUCAGCAUCUCCGCAGUUUCUUUUAAACCAACCUUUGAGCAAGUCCAAAUCAAUAUGAUGAUUGCAACGACAUGCCUUGUGGUCACUUUGAUAAUUUUAAACCAUGGACGAAGUGGUAACUCCCAUUUCGCCACCUUUCGUCAAGCAACUGACACGUUAAAGAGUAAUACCCCAAGAAUCUCCGUCGGUGAAAUGAAUGAUCGUAUGGAAUUCGAUGAGGGUUCCGGAAUAAUGGAAACGAUGUUAAAUGUUGAAGAAUGUCUCGGAAAUGCCUUUCAAAGGUUUACCACUUCCCUGCAGAAUCCGAGUGGAUGUUAUAUUUUCCAGAGCACUGGAUUUAACAUGGAGGGAUAUCCGAAUAGUACAGGACCUCCUUCUCUAUACUAUUGCAAUUACAUAAUUCGGGUA